rnacentral:rRNA from 1 species
UACAGAGGUCUCAAGCGUUGUUCGGAUUCAUUGGGCGUAAAGGGUGCGUAGGCGGCGCGGUAAGUCGGGUGUGAAAUCUCGGAGCUUAACUCCGAAACUGCAUUCGAUACUGCCGUGCUUGAGGACUGGAGAGGAGACUGGAAUUUACGGUGUAGCGGUGAAAUUCGUAGAUAUCGUAAGGAAGACCAGUGGCGAAGGCGGGUCUCUGGACAGUUCCUGACGCUGAGGCACGAAGGCCAGGGGAGCAAACGGG